rnacentral:rRNA from 1 species
UACGUAGGUGGCAAGCGUUGUCCGGAUUUACUGGGCGUAAAGGGUGCGUAGGCGGAUAUUUAAGUGAGAUGUGAAAUUCCCGGGCUUAACUUGGGAGCUGCAUUUCAAACUGGGUAUCUAGAGUGCGGGAGAGGAAAGUGGAAUUCCUAGUGUAGCGGUGAAAUGCGUAGAGAUUAGGAAGAACACCAGUGGCGAAGGCGACUUUCUGGACCGUAACUGACGCUGAGGCAUGAAAGCGUGGGGAGCAAACAGG